GUAUGGACCUUCACUCAGUUCAUUCAAAGCUUUCUCUGUGUUCCAAAUUCAGAAGUUGAAGAAGAGGUUGCUGGCCAAUCAGCAGAGCAAAUAUAUUGUAAUUACUCCAGCCCUCAAAGCCUCUUUUACAGGUAAUUUCAGAGCACAUGUCCAAAAUGCAUAGCAGAGAGGUGCCCAUGCUGGCUUCAGAAAUGGAAGCAAUGACAUGGAUGUAGCUAUGCUCCCUUUAGGCUGAGAUGGUUCCUAGCUCUUUGUUAUGUCAUGUGCAUGUAUCAGCUUUGCUGGAGAUAGCUGCAGGCUGGCUGUCCUGUGUGCUGCUGAGGGGCAGGUAGAUAUGCUCUUUGCAUGUCUGUCAGUAAGAGAGGAUGUAAUCUUGCUUAGAUUAAAUUAGGGUUCUUUGCAGUCAGGAAUGCUCACAAAGCAUGUUUUGCAUUGUGUGUUUCACACAGUUUACCUGAAGGCAUUUCUGGGACCAGGGGCUAGAAGAAUGUUCGAUUUUAAAUUCACAGCGUCUCCCACUAGAGUGCUGCAGCUGUUGAACAGAGUGAAAUGUCGUGAAAUGUCUUGA
rnacentral:lncRNA from 1 species